rnacentral:rRNA from 1 species
GGAUCAUUACCGAGUGAGGGCCCUCUGGGUCCAACCUCCCACCCGUGUCUAUCGUACCUUGUUGCUUCGGCGGGCCCGCCGUUUCGACGGCCGCCGGGGAGGCCCUGCGCCCCCGGGCCCGCGCCCGCCGAAGACCCCAACAUGAACGCUGUUCUGAAAGAUGCAGUCUGAGUUGAUUAUCGUAAUCAGUUAAAACUUUCAACAACGGAUCUCUUGGUUCCGGCAUCGAUGAAGAACGCAGCGAAAUGCGAUAAGUAAUGUGAAUUGCAGAAUUCAGUGAAUCAUCGAGUCUUUGAACGCACAUUGCGCCCCCUGGUAUUCCGGGGGGCAUGCCUGUCCGAGCGUCAUUGCUGCCCUCAAGCACGGCUUGUGUGUUGGGCCCCCGUCCCCCUCUCCCGGGGGACGGGCCCGAAAGGCAGCGGCGGCACCGCGUCCGGUCCUCGAGCGUAUGGGGCUUUGUCACCGCUCUGUAGGCCCGGCCGGCGCCAGCCGACACCCAACUUUAUUUUUCUAAGGUUGACCUCGGAUCAGGUAGGGAUACCCGCUGAACUUAAGCA